UGUCACACUGGUGACACUGACAGUCUCAAUUUAAAGCCCCGGUGAUUCCUAGCUACUCAACUAGCUGUACAAGUUCCUUUUUUAGUAUUUUAUAUUUGUUCAUAACUUUUUCAGAAGCCAAGAACCAGAUUAUGCUGCUGGGCCAGAUCAUAGCUGGGUCUUGAACUCUUGGCUGUUGAGCACAAUGGUACCAGCCAACACCCUCCCAGUUCAUGUUAAAGACCUCAUCUCAGCUGCCUCCUUUGGAAAGAAGAAUGCUGAAACUCUGAACAAUGGGUGUAAUGAAAUAUCAUAACUCUUUUCUAG